AUCAAGCAAACUACAUACAAUUAACAGGCAGAACAUAGGGCAGGUGAAGCGGAUGUCGUUCAUCGUACAAGUCACACCAUCAUCGACUACAAUGUUCACAGCGUCACUCGACCUGAGUCAAGAUGCCUUACAACUAACUGGAACCUAAACAUAUAUGAUGAGAUGCGCUCUACCCCGGCACACAGGCUAUAGGCAUCUGUACAUUUGUUUAUACACAUACAAGGAUACAACAUUUAUUAAUUUGAAUUAUGCAGGUCAACUCGAGAAAUUCCGAUUUCAGGGAGACACCUAACUUAUGCUGCGAGAUUCAGUGCAGCUGUGGGGGGACAGACAUGCAGGCCCGACAUCCGCUCCGCUUUCUCCUCAAAGCAGCGAGUCAUGGUACCAGUUGUUAUACAGACGCCCAAACUGGAGGAGGCUACCAUAUGUUCUAUCCCACACGCCGACGAAGAGGGCGUCUGUGUCGGGGCUGAAGGACAUCCCAGAUAUCUCGCCGAAGAAGUCUAGCUCUUGCCUUCUGUUGUAGUCGCUCUUCACGUCAAAGAUAUGGACAAAGUCCGCUGGUUCCGCCAUCGACAGGAACUGCCCAUCCGACGUAAACCGGAUUGAUCUGAUGGCUCCAAGGUUACCCUUCAAUACAUGGACUGCUUUUGAUAGGUUCCUCGCGUCCCAGAUUCGGCAUGUCUUGUCUUGGUUCCCAGUAGCAAACGUUCGGCCAUCAGGGCUCCAGGCUGAUGCGAAUGAGAAGUC
rnacentral:lncRNA from 1 species